UACGUAGGGGGCAAGCGUUGUCCGGAAUUACUGGGCGUAAAGGGCGCGCAGGCGGCUAAAUAAGUUAUGCGUGAAAUGUACUGGCUCAACCGGUGCACUGCGUGUAAAACUGUUUAGCUUGAGUGCAGUAGAGGAAAGCGGAAUUCCUAGUGUAGCGGUGAAAUGCGUAGAUAUUAGGAAGAACACCAGUGGCGAAGGCGGUUUUCUGGGCUGCAACUGACGCUGAGGCGCGAAAGCUGGGGGAGCGAACGGGAUUAGAUACCCCGGUAGUCCCAGCCGUAAACGAUGAUCACUAGGUGUAGGGGGUAUCGACCCCCCCUGUGCCGAAGUUAACGCGUUAAGUGAUCCGCCUGGGGAGUACGUCCGCAAGGAUGAA
rnacentral:rRNA from 1 species